rnacentral:snRNA from 1 species
AUACUUACCUGGGCGGGGUCGAUGGGCGGUCAGGAAGGCCCAUGGCCUAGAUCAGCGGUCCACAUUGCACGCGGUGGGUGCGCUGGUCUACCUUCUCCCCAGGUGGGAGAGUGGACGUCGUAAUUUGUGACAGCAGGGGUACGCGUCCGCGCGGCCCCUA